CACGCCGUAAACGAUGAGCACUAGGUGUCGGGGUCGCAAGGCUUCGGUGCCGCAGUUAACGCAUUAAGUGCUCCGCCUGGGGAGUACGCACGCAAGUGUAAAACUCAAAGGAAUUGACGGGGACCCGCACAAGCAGCGGAGCAUGUGGUUUAAUUCGAAGCAACGCGAAGAACCUUACCAGAGCUUGACAUCCCUUUGACCGGUCCGUAAUGGGACUUUCUCUUCGGAGCAAAGGUGACAGGUGG
rnacentral:rRNA from 1 species